UACGUAGGUGGCAAGCGUUUGUCCGGAAUUAUUGGGCGUAAAGCGCGCGCAGGCGGUCAUUUAAGUCUGGUGUAUAAACCAAGGGCUCAACCUUUGGACGCAUUGGAAACUGGGUGACUGGAGUGUAGGAGAGGAAAGUGGAAUUCCACGUGUAGCGGUGAAAUGCGUAGAGAUGUGGAGGAACACCAGUGGCGAAGGCGACUCACUGGACACGUAUUGACGCUGAGGUGCGAAAGCGUGGGGAGCAAACAGG
rnacentral:rRNA from 1 species